GGACUUUACUUGAGGUCGUCCCGCCUGAGUACUACGAGCAACAGCUUAAAACUCAAAGGACUUGGCGGUGCUUUACACCCACCUAGAGGAGCCUGUUCUAUAAUCGAUACCCCCCGAUAAACCUCACCACUUCUAGCCAAUACAGCCUAUAUACCACCGCCCUAGCUAACCACCUCAAAGGUGCAUAUAGUAAGCAAAAUAAUUCUAAUAUUAAAAAGUCAGGUCAAGGUGUAGCAUAUGAAGCGGAAAGAAAUGGGCUACAUUUUCUAUUUUAGAAAACACGAAAUAUUUUGUGAAAUAAAAUAUAAAGGAGGAUUUAGAAGUAAAAAGAAAAAAGAGUGUUCUUUUUAAACUGGCAAUAAAGCGCGUACACACCGCCCGUCACCCUCUUCAAAAAUAUAAUAAAUUAAAUAAAUAUAAUAGUUUAAUAAGACGAGGAAAGUCGUAACAUGGUAAGUCUACCGGAAGGUGGCCUUGGAUAU
rnacentral:rRNA from 1 species